ncrna:unclassified sequences SAM-I/IV variant riboswitch
AGGAUUCAUCAAGAGUGGGAUUAAGUUCUCCUCCAACCUGCCAACUCCGGCAAGGUGGAACAAGUGAUGAGGUUAACCAACAACUAAUGGAGUUACA